GCCUUGCUAGCUCAAUGGUAGAGUGUCAGACUCUUACAGUCCUUCUGACCGGGUAGGAGUCUAGAAGUUGCAGGAUUGACUCCUGUGUGAGGCU